UACGAAGGGGGCUAGCGUUGCUCGGAAUUACUGGGCGUAAAGGGCGCGUAGGCGGAUGUUUAAGUCAGUGGUGAAAGCCCAGGGCUCAACCUCGGAACUGCCAUUGAUACUGGACAUCUUGAGUGCGGGAGAGGUGAGUGGAACACCGAGUGUAGAGGUGAAAUUCGUAGAUAUUCGGUAGAACACCAGUGGCGAAGGCGACUCACUGGCCCGUAACUGACGCUGAUGCGCGAAAGCGUGGGGAGCAAACAGG
rnacentral:rRNA from 1 species